UUUAAUAUUUGGGGUGGUGAUUUUUUAUACACAUUUUCCUUUGUGAUUAACGUAUUUUGUUUUGGUACGCAACGUGUGAGAGACGGGCUUCGGUUAGAAGCAAUCCAGAACUCGGUAAUGAUCCUUCCGCAGGUUCACCUACGGAAA
rnacentral:misc_RNA from 1 species